rnacentral:rRNA from 1 species
GACGAACGCUGGCGGCGUGCCUAAUACAUGCAAGUAGAACGCAGUUGCGAACGGGUGAGUAACGAGUAGGUAACUGCCUGGUAGCGGGGGAUAACUAUUGGAAACGAUAGCUAAUACCGCAUACUAACAGAUGGACCUGCGUUGUAUUUGCUAGUUGGUGAGGUAACGGCUCACCAAGGCAACGAUACAUAGACGACUUGGGAGUGGUAUCUGCCAACCUGGGACUGAGACACGGCCCAGACUCCUACGGGAGGCAGCAGUAGGGAAGUUUCGGCAAUGGGGGGAACCCUGACCGAGCAACGCCGCGUGAGUGAAGAAGGUUGUCGGAUCGUAAAGCUAUUUUGUUAAGGAAGCGGUACUUAACCAGAAAGGGACGGCUAACUACGUGCCAGCCGCCGCGGUAAUUC